rnacentral:rRNA from 1 species
UACGUAGGGGGCAAGCGUUGUCCGGAUUUAUUGGGCGUAAAGAGCGUGUAGGCGGCCUGAAAGGUCAGCUGUGAAAACUCGAGGCUCAACCUCGAGACGUCGGUUGAAACCAUCUGGCUAGAGUCCGGAAGAGGAGUGUGGAAUUCCCGGUGUAGCGGUGAAAUGCGCAGAUAUCGGGAAGAACACCCGUGGCGAAAGCGGCUCACUGGACCACAACUGACGCUGAGGCGCGAAAGCUAGGGGAGCAAACAGG